UUGGAGGGCAAGUCUGGUGCCAGCAGCCGCGGUAAUUCCAGCUCCAAUAGCGUAUAUUAAAGUUGUUGCAGUUAAAAAGCUCGUAGUUGAAUUUCGGGAUUAGUACGCUGGUCGUGCCUUCGGUACGUACUGGUGUUACUGAUUUCUACCUUCUGACGAACCAUCAUGUCAUUAAUUUGGUGUGGUGGGAAAUCAGGACUGUUACUUUGAAAAAAUUAGAGUGUUUAAAGCAGGCUCGCGCUUGAAUACAUUAGCAUGGAAUAAUGAAAUAGGACGUUGAUCCUACUUUGUUGGUUUCUAGGAUUGCCGUAAUGAUUAAUAGGGAUAGUUGGGGGCAUUAGUAUUCAAUUGUCAGAGGUGAAAUUCUUGGAUUUAUUGAAGACUAACUACUGCGAAAGCAUUUGCCAAGGAUGUUUUCAUUAAUCAAGAACGAAAGUUAGGGGAUCGAAGACGAUCAGAUACCGUCGUAGUCUUAACCAUAAACUAUGCCGACUAGGGAUCGGAUGAUGUUAUUUUUAAUGACUCAUUCGGCGCCUUACGGGAAAC
rnacentral:rRNA from 1 species